GCCUGCCCAGUGACGACCGUUAAACGGCCGCGGUAUCCUGACCGUGCAAAGGUAGCAUAAUCACUUGUUCCCUAAAUAGGGACUUGUAUGAAUGGCCACACGAGGGUUUUACUGUCUCUUACUUCCAAUCAGUGAAAUUGACCUUCCCGUGAAGAGGCGGGAAUACAUUAAUAAGACGAGAAGACCCUAUGGAGCUUUAACUACUUGGCCCAAAAGAAAUAAAUUUCAUUGCUAAGGAAACAACAAUACUCUUUAUGGGCUAACAGCUUUGGUUGGGGUGACCUCGGAGAACAAAAAAUCCUCCGAGCGAUUUUAAAGACUAGACCCACAAGUCGAAUCACACAAUCGCUUAUUGAUCCAAAAAAUUGAUCAACGGAACAAGUUACCCUAGGGAUAACAGCGCAAUCCUAUUCAAGAGUCCAUAUCGACAAUAGGGUUUACGACCUCGAUGUUGGAUCAGGACAUCCCGAUGGUGCAACCGCUAUCAAAGGUUCGUUUGUUCAACGAUUAAAGUCCUACGUGAUCUGAGUUCAAACCGGAGA
rnacentral:rRNA from 1 species